rnacentral:rRNA from 1 species
GACGGAGGGUGCUAGCGUUGUUCGGAAUUACUGGGCGUAAAGGGCGCGUAGGCGGCCGCUUGCGUCGGAUGUGAAAGCCCGGGGCUCAACCCCGGAACGGCAUCCGAUACGGGGCGGCUGGAGACCGGGAGAGGAGGGUGGAAUAGCCAGUGGUAGAGGUGAAAUUCGUAGAUAUUGGCUGGAACACCGGUGGCGAAAGCGGCUCUCCUGGCCC